CUUCCUCUUUCAUCAGCGACUCAAGGGCAAAAUUAUUGAGGGGUCCUCCUAGAUGAGAAAUACUGAAGAUUUGUGGGCUUCCCACAAACACAUUUUUAAAUAUGGAUUCACUCCCAGUUCUUGUCAAAUCGUUACUUUGGGAGAUGCGUUUCUAUUAAGAGGACGGAGAAGAAACGACGUUAGCGUGUUUCAGGUUGUUUUUAGCGCCGUGAAGACCACCGUGCAGUGAACACUAAACACACGCAUUUAAAGGAGCAGCACAGGUUGACUCGUAAGGCGUCAUGGCGGACUCCAGCUUUAACAACCUGACAUCUCUCGCCCGAGCUUUAUCACAACCAAAACUCGACCUACUAGAAUCGCCAGAUGUUGGUCCUCCACGGAACAUAGCGCUGCAUCCUGCCCGAAGGAGAAAGUUAUCGAGCUGCAACUCGAUAGAGUCCAUUGAGCCGCUGACCUCACCGACCACUGCUGAGGCGCGCGUGCUGGUUAUCAACACUGGAGGAACCAUUGGGAUGACACUUCAUGAUAACGUACUUGCCCCGAAAGCCAAUGCCUUUGUCAAUGGCCUGCGCAAGUUGCCCAUCCUACACGAUGAGAUGUACGCCCAGCAGACCUGCAUGUAUGAAUACUAUGGAUCUGAGAACAGCCUGGUCCUGCCGAAGCCAACGCCCCAUAUGGACCAUUUAUAUCAUAGGUUGAGUAAAGACAGUAAAAGGAUAAUCUACAAUAUCUUAGAGUACAGCCCUUUGCUGGACUCCUCCAAUAUGACCACGGAUGACUGGGGAAGAAUUGGAAAGGACAUUGAGAAAAACUAUGAAAGCUACGAUGGCUUUGUGAUCCUUCAUGGCACAGACACUAUGGCUUACACAGCCUCGGCCCUGUCCUUCAUGUGUGAACAUUUAGGCAAACCAAUCAUCCUAACUGGCUCACAGGUGCCUAUCUAUGAGUUGAGGAACGAUGGCAGAGACAACCUGCUGGGGGCGCUGCUGAUUGCUGGCCAGUUUGUCAUCCCUGAGGUCUGUCUGUAUUUUUACAAUAAACUCUACAGGGGAAAUCGUGUGACCAAGGUGGAUGCUGGAAGUUUUAAUGCGUUCUCCUCUCCUAACUUGGCUCCUCUGGCCACUGCUGAAGUGGAUAUUUCAAUCAACUGGGACACGGUGUGGAGGGCGAACACCACAGCGAAGUUUCAUGUCAGUACCGAACUGAACAGGAACGUAGGCCUGCUCAGGCUCUUCCCAGGAAUCACUUCUGCAACUGUGAGAGCUUUCCUGCAGCCGCCCAUGCAGGGUGUAGUCCUGGAGACCUACGGCAGUGGAAAUGCCCCCGAUAACCGUCCUGACCUGUUAGAGGAGCUGAAGAAGGCCACGGACUCUGGUGUCAUCAUCGUGAACUGCACACAAUGUCUCAGGGGGACUGUGUCUGCGUCCUAUGCUACUGGCAAGGUGUUGAUGGAUGCAGGGCUGAUAGCUGGUGGAGACAUGACUCCAGAGGCUGCCCUCUCAAAGCUGUCCUAUUUAUUGGCCAAAACAGAGCUGGAUCUAGAUGCCAAGAAGAAGAUGAUGGCUCAGAACCUGAGAGGUGAGAUGAAAGCCAACAUAGCAGGCGCGAAGUUGGCCCUGAGCGACAGCCGCUUCAUCCAGGUCAUCGCCAAGAGCCUCAGCAUCAGCUGCAAAGAGGAGCUGGAAGCAAUCCGUGAUGCCCUGACCCCCUCGCUGGCAUGUGCUGCUGCUAAGAUUGGAGACAUGGAGGCUUUGGAAGCCCUAAACGGCAUGGGCAGUAACUUGUGUCUGGGAGACUAUGAUGGACGUACACCCCUACAUAUUGCCGCCUCCGAGGGCCACCUCAAACUGGUGCAGUAUCUACUUGGUCAUGGGGCUUCAGUCUAUGCUAAAGAUCGCUACAGUGACACACCUUUAUGCAACGCGGUACGCUUCAGGCACAAGGAGGUUGUGAAGCUGCUGAGAAAGACGGGAGCACAUUUCUCCAGAGACGAGUUGGAGGAAGCAGGAACAGAGCUAUGCAGUCUGGCAGCCAUUGGUGACCUGGAGGGCCUGGAAAUCUGGAGCCUUGCCGGGGCGAAUCUGAAUAAACCAGGCUAUGAUGGACAGAAUGCCAUUCAAGUGGCUCAAGCUGUCGGCAAAAAAGAAGUUGUGGCGUUUUUGGUGCAGCUGAUGAGCAAUAAAUCCAAGGCCGUUUUUGAUGAAUUUAAUGAGUGUGAUGAAUAUGAUGACGAUGAGAAAAAGCAAUCAGAUAAAUCAGAUCUGUAACCUGCCUGUGAACGUUAAACCUGUGCCGCCUGCUUGUCACCUAGCUGACUGAACAGUGAAGUGAUUGAGUUCACCGCUUCACCAGGAGGACGUUGAGCCAACCAACUUGUACUCUGUGUAGAGCCGCGCCACACCAGGCCGUCCACACACCGUCCACUGUCCCUUUAAAUGGCAGCACAAAUUAAAAUUCUGUUUGAAGGCAUCACUGCUCGUGUUUCCCUCAAAAACCCUUUCAAAGCACAACAUUGUUUUGUGUGCCCCCAAAAGACAAUCAGUAGACGAACGUGUGUAUGAUUGUUGCACAGUGAUAUAUGUAUGAGAAAACAUAUGGUCUUUAUGAAUGUUUAUCAAAUGAUUUUAUUUUAAUAAACACUGUGACUGUGACGUCCCUUCAGGGAUCUUAAGGUGAACUUCACCUGAGCUGUUUUUAAAUGAAUUGAGCUGAUACAAACAUUGACUACUGUUACAUGACUUUAUAAAGAAAUGCUAUCUUAUUAUAGCAAUAAAUGUUACUACAGGGUACAUUCACUGAUUGUAUUUUUACACUGAUUUUAAAAAAAGGCAAUGGAACAUAACUUGAAAUGAACAAGUUGUCUUGCCUUUUAAUCAUAUGUGAUAUUUGACAACUGUCGCACUUGUCGACUUUCAGUAAAACUUUCAGUAAACCUCAACCUUUUUCAAUCUAUUCUGCUCAAACAGGAUUAACAAAUCAACAAAAACCAGCAGCUAACCUUCCAGACUCAUCCAGCCUGUUUCUUCUGUUGAUUGCCGAGCUUGAAAAGUCGCAUUUCUCCCUUUUAGAUGGGAAAGGGGAAAACCAGACUAUUGUUCGAGUGAGAUUAAGAAGUAAACCUGCCUCGGUUUCUGUUUUCUUACAUAUUUUUAAAAGUCUUCAUUUAUUUACUUUUUUCUUUACUUAUCUUUGUUGUGCAAUGUUUUGCUGCCCUUGUGUGAUUUAGUGUCUGUAAUGACUGUCGGUCAUUUUUUUUACACCUUGAUGUUACUAAGUGUAAAGAAUGGUCGUUGAUUACACGUGACUUCAAAGUGUAAACACAUUUGAAAUGACUGGAAUGUUUUUUCUUUGUUUUCAAUGCUGUUAUUGUCUCCCUUAUCCAAAAAUGUUAAAGGGUCAUGUGUUUUAAAAACUGAUACAUGUUGGUCAGUUUCUCAUAUGGAAAAAAAGCAACAGAAAUAAAUCUUGUGUUUCAAA